rnacentral:rRNA from 1 species
UGGGGAAUCUUGGACAAUGGGGGAAACCCUGAUCCAGCCAUGCCGCGUGAUCGAUGAAGGCCUUAGGGUUGUAAAGAUCUUUCAGCGAGGAAGAUAAUGACGGUACUCGCAGAAGAAGCCCCGGCUAACUCCGUGCCAGCAGCCGCGGUAAUACGGAGGGGGCUAGCGUUGUUCGGAAUUACUGGGCGUAAAGCGCACGUAGGCGGAUCAGUCAGUCAGAGGUGAAAUCCCAGGGCUCAACCCUGGAACUGCCUUUGAUACUGCUGGUCUGGAGGAUGAGAGAGGCGAGUGGAAUUCCGAGUGUAGAGGUGAAAUUCGUAGAUAUUCGGAGGAACACCAGUGGCGAAGGCGGCUCGCUGGCUCAUUUCUGACGCUGAGGUGCGAAAGCGUGGGGAGCAAACA